ensembl:lncRNA
GAUCAUUACAAUGGGAAAAGGUGUUUCACCAGAGGUGUAACAACAGAAGGAUCAGCAUGAUAGAGAAGUGCCAUAAGGAAAGAAGAUUGCUUAUCUGUAUCAGAAGAUUCCAGGCUCACAGGGGAAAGCUCCACCAAGGAGGGAUCUCCAGAAAGAGAUCCUUCCCCUCAAUUGCUGUCAGCCCUUCAGUGAGUUCUAAGAGGUACACCCUUCCAGUCACACAGGUGAAUGGCCUUCACAUGUGCUCCCAGGGCUGAGUCCUUUCCCCAGGUGCUCAAUCAGUGGUUCAGUCCGUGACUCAACAGUUCCCAUACACAUGCAUACAUUGAAGUGCUCAAGCUGUGCUCCUGAGGAAAGCCAGACAAAACAAGGUGAUGCCCCUCUGGAAUAAAUGUGAACAGCCAACAAUAUUCUCCAUGGGCUGUAAUCAGGGAAGAGUAUCUGAGUUCAUUUCUUAAAACCACCUCCAGUAUUUAUUAAAUAGAACUGUAGAGCCACUAAGAUUAGAAAGACCUUUAAGUUCAUCUAGUCCAACCUCCAACCCAUCCCCACCAUGCUCGCUAAUCAUGUCCCUCAGUGCCACAUCUCCAUGGUUCUUCAACACCCCUAGGGAUGGUGGUGCCACCACCUCCCUGGGCAGUCUGUUCUGAUGGCUCACCACUCUUUCUGAGAAGGCCUUUUUUCCUAAUAUCCAACCUGAAUCUCCCCAUGCACAACAUAAGGUUUCAUUUUUUCUUUUUUUUUCCUUUCUUCUGCUGCUGCUUUAGUCAAGUUCCUGCAGCUAUGCAGUGUUGUACCUAUCAAGCAUCAGAACAGUCAUGAUGUUUUGGAUUUUUCAGAUGGAGGAAAUUGUAAAGGAAGAAUUAACACUUUGUCAUUAUUGCUUUUUUAAUUAGUCACGCCAGUCAAUUUUUGUGGUGUGUGGGUCAAAGCCCCCAUGGGUGCUACUUAUUUAGUGAACAGACAGCCUGGAUUAAUGUUGUGAGGGUUUCUGGAAGCAUCUGAUUGACAUUCAGGGAUUUAAUGCUCAGAUUAAUCCAGUAAUUCUAAUUUUAUAAUACGAUGUGUGUCCUUGCAUAAUUUCCUCUUUGGAAGCAAAGAACAGCAUAUAUCCCUCAUGCAAUUGCUACAGCUGUAACAACUCCUUCGUAUUUUAAUGGCACUGAAUGUGCUUAGCAGCUGUCUUGUAAAAUACACAGGAGGAGUGCUUGAAAACCAGGGAUCAUAACGUGGCUGGGAACAACCCUGAAAACCUUUAUUAACCACUUCUGUAACCAACGUACCCCUUAGGAAAAAUGAGAUAUUUAAUGCUUGAUACAUUAUGGCACAGGAAAUCCAGUUCCUAACCUGCUUACCAGUUUCUCUAGAACAUGUCUGGGAGCCUGGGAGAUUUGAAAGAGGGAUGCUGUCUCGUAAUCUGCCUAUUUGUCCUGUUUAGUAGGAAUUCAAAUGCUUAAGGAGGAGAUGUUUAAAACAAAGCACCGCAGAUACAGUGUGGUACGUAAUGCAGACAGAAAUAAGCUAUUGAUAUGGAAAAGCUGUGGGAUGAAUGGAAUAAUCUGAGGUCUUAUGGCUUCAUACUUGGUAUAGAAAUUUGACCAGGUGUCUAUAUUCUUUGCCAUUUACAAAUGGCUUAAGGGACCCUUGGCAUAAAGAAUUAUGCUUUGAUACCAUGCUUUGUGUACUGAGAGUGUCUCUUCCGUCCUUUGUGGCUGUCAUGGUCUUUGUGGUUGUGUUCUGCUGUUACUUUUUGAGGAACAACCAAACAACAAAGAUGUGCGAGAGAUGCUUUGACUCCUAUAUCAACAGAUACAGAAUUAAAAAAUCAUCCUGCAUCUCUGCUGUAAAUGCUGCUUUUUGCUGUUGUAUUUUUUUGGAUAAGUUGAAUCAGUGGUUUACCUUGUUCACUUCCUUUUUUUUCUGUAUUAGUAAAAAUGGGAAUUUUUAGUACCAUCUGAGCACUUGCUUGUUUGCAAUUACAUGGUGUAUGGGAACUGUUAAGUCAGGGCCUGAACCAGUGAUUGAGCACUUGGUGAAGAGGCAGAGCCAGCCCUGGGAGCACAGGUGGAAGCCAUUCACCUGCGUGAUUGGAAGUCCCUAACUUCAUUUAAGGGCUGGCUGCCACGCUGGUAGGUUCUCUACUUGGAGAUUGUUUCCUUGGGAGUGUUUAGUGAGCCCCAAUCCUUGGAAAAGGGUAAGCAAUUCCUUCUUUAUUACCAGAAUGUGUCCUCUAUCUUUCCUAGGUUAUCUUAAACUCAUUUAAAGCAGUUAUAUGUACUGUCUCAUUUUUCUAUAUGUAGCAUAUGUCAUGCAUUUUUCUUGGGCAAAAAUGUUACCUUUGGUGGUGUUUAUGCAUAAAUACCUGUCUUAAAAUCAUAGAACCCUUAAGAUUGGAAAAGUCUACUAAGACCAUCUAGUCUAACUAUCAACCCACCAUACUAUCUCAGUGCCCUAUCUAGCUCUACCUGAAUCUUUUUAUUUUGAGACUGACCUCACCAAAACAGUAUGGAAGUGAUGUAGAGCUGAGUAGUGACCUUCUGUGUUUUUCUGCUUGGUGCACCAUCAAGUAGGUCAGAACUUAUAAAGACUGCAGUGUUCUGCAGGUGGUUGGUAGGGCUGAGUGCAGUAACUUCCCUGGCACGUAGGGGUGUUGAGAUGGGAUGAUGGCCCUGUGCCUUCACCUGUUGCGGAUUCAGCCAUUCAUACAUAGGUAGCUGUAAAGCCCUUUGGUAAAAGGGUGUUUUAAGCAGAGUUGACAAAUGGAUGCCUUUUUGGAUACGCUUCUACUAUUAGCAUGUUUGAUUAAAUAAUUAAUAUUGAACAUCAGGAGUAAAUAAAGAGAAAGAUACCUUUGCUUUUCACCUGUGAAACAAUGAAUUUUCAUUUGAAGUCCUCAGUAGAUCUGGUUCUAUUGGCUGUACUCCCUGUUCUCUGUGCAAGGCUUUUGCACUCAAAAAUGGAAAUGGCAACGUGCCAUAUACCGCAUAUAAAAAUUGCAGUGAUAUAAAAGCAAGAGAAAAAGUACUUUGCAGUGCUUUCACUUAUCAUUCAGUGCCAGCUGGCCACGUGGGACUGGAAGGGCUACUGGUUAUGUUUUUAUAUUAAUUUCUCUAUGUAUUUGGUUUUGGUUGCUGAGUAAUAAAUCCUGGCUCUAUCUUCCCUGGCACCUUUUAUACCAGGGUUUUGAGCAAUUUCAACCUUACUUAUGGAUGAGAAGGGUUUCAAUAAAUUAAAACCGUGGGUGUUGUGUUUUUUUUUUGACUGUGUUGGUGUACACACAGGUGUUAAUGCCAGCAAAUGUUGCUUGCAGUCUGUACCUCAUUCCACUGAUUGUAAUCAGAAUGAACAGACAGCCUCACUCCAUGUAGAAAUGCAGACCCCAGCCUCUGAAAAUGGUUGUGCUUUUUUUAUAGAUCAUUCUUUAAAACAGAUGCCAAGAUGCUUUCCUCACAUUCACAAACUUUGCAUGUGUAAUCUUUUUGCCUUAGUUCUUCAUGCUCUUGCAGUUGUGGGCUGUUACAGUAACUGGGAUUCUCUUGUGCUAACUUAAUAAAUAUCAGUAAGUGUUGUGUCUUCUGUGGAUGCUCACCUAAAAACCCGAUUACUGUUUGGAAGAAGGGCAAUUUUUGAACUAUCU